rnacentral:lncRNA from 1 species
UUUUGUAUCUGGACGUUUUGAGGGUUUAGGUAAGUUUAAUAUAGUGGUCUGAAAUUCAGACCCUUUCUUGGAAAUAGUUUCAAUCAAACUAAACAGAGUUAAAAUUAGUCAGCAUAAGAAAUCAAAAGGGGAGUCUUUUACUGAUUCGUUACCGAUUUGAGACAUGCAAGAUGUUUGUUUUGAUCCGAUCUUUAACAUUAUAUUCAAUUCAUCCUCUCAAAUUCACCAUCCUCUUUUUUUUUCUUAGAUUGCAUGUUUCGAUCUAACUAUUAGUUGCUGAUCUACAACGAGUAGCAUAUAUGAAACAAACACUAAAUCAAUAUAUCUUAGAAAUGAAAUCUCAAAAGCUAAAGGAAAAAGUAUGAAGACUCUAACCUUAUUAUUUUCUUCUCAGAUGAAUAUGAAGGUUAAGUGGAUUAGAAUUCAUCAUGUCCGUAAAUCAAAUGAGUUUGAUUCGUUAUGUUUGUGGAGAUUGAUACAGCCCCGGAAGCUAGGAUGGUGAGAUGGUUGAUGAAAUGGUGAUGGUUGAGAAAUCAGUUUAGAUGGAGGUGGUUGAUGGAUGAACUACUGUUCCUUCACGUCCAAGAUAACCCCAAACAAAGGAAGAAAAAAGACUUUAUGAAUGAUAAAAUAAGAACAGAAAGUGAAAUAAUUAGAUAAGAUAGAAUGGGGUGGAUUGAUGGAUAGAUGAUUGAUGAUCGAAGAUGGAAUUGGUGAUGGAUAGAAGAUGAUUGACUCUCUCAAUCCAUGGGCUUGAUUGACUCUCUCAAUAUGGAAUAACACUGGCUGUUGAUCACACAAACAACCAAUGCUAGACGAAUCAAUAGAACACAAGAAUCACUCAAGUAUCAUAAAGACAUAUUUCUAUUCAAAGACUCUCUUUGAUAAAACCAAACAAACUGAUUAUUAUUUCUUCAAGAUUGAAAAGGUGUCUUACAAGGAAGACUAGACAGAGCUUAUAUAGACUCGCGCCUUAACUUAUAUAGAAAACUAAAACAAAGAAAGAAGCAAACAAAGAAGGAAAACCGAUAAAACUAGUUGUUAGAAGAUAUCUUGGAUCCAAAGGCUUUCUUCAAGGGGUUUGAUUCUAGUUUUGUAUCUGGACGUUUUGAGGGUUUAGGUAAGUUUAUUAGGAACAUCUUGAAUGCUGAAGACUUGGUCGAAAUCAUUGUAGACUUGGCUUGGAAAGAGCCAUUGGGAAUUGAUGGCAAAUAAUUCCAAGAAUUACUCCAAAAAUGGCAAGUGAAGUCUUGGUAGAUCCCGUGGGUUCCGGUGAGUGCUGGUGCAUAUUAGGACUUCUAGAAAAUCAAGUAAUACCUCCAAAACGUUGCAGCUUUGAUGG